AACGAACGCUGGCGGCAUGCCUAACACAUGCAAGUCGAACGAGAACUUCGGGUCUAUUGGCGCACGGGUGCGUACCGCGUGGUAACCUGCCCUUAGGUUCGGAAUAACUCCCCUAAAGGGGUGCUAAUACCGCAUCAUGUCUUCGGACCAAAGAUUUAUCGCCUUUGGAUGGGCCCGCGUUGGUUUCGCUAGUUGGUAGGGUAAAAGCCUACCAAGGCGACGAUCCAUAGCUGGUCUGAGAGCAUGAUCAGCCACACUGGGACUGCGACACGGCCCAGACUCGUACGGAAGGCAGCAGUGGGGAAUAUUGGACAAGGGGCGAAAGCGUGAUCCAGCAAUGCCGCGUGAGUCAUGAAGGCCUUAGGGUUGUAAAGCUCUUUUACCCGGGAUGAUAAUGACGGUAACGGGAGAAUAAGCUCCGGCUAACUCCGUG
rnacentral:rRNA from 1 species